GCCUUUAUAAAACUCCUUCCAAAUCUAAUACUUGAGGCACACUAUUGGAAUUUGAAAUCUAAAUCAAUGUAUACCUUAGCUAAAACCCAACACACCCAAAGGAUCCCUUCAAACACUAGCAGAGUAAUAAUUUCAUAAUAAUUACUCAAAUCCAGAAAACAAAAGGAAACAACAUUGAUAUUUGAGAUUAAAAAAAUGUAUCUGAGGGAUAAUCUACUCAGUUAUGUCAUUCUCUUCAACUUGUUUAUCUAGUUGAACCAUAAUAGUUCUUAGUAAAACAACACCCUCCUAUACAAGUGAAUAACUCUCUUCAAACAACAUUCACUCAAAGUAUCAAUUCUCUAGCCUUUGUACAUAAUUACCUAGGUCGACACCCAAUUCCAACCUCAUAAGAGUGCCAUGAAAUGCUUGCUUAAUAGUUUAUAGCAAUCUCUUUUAUAUUGCUUGCAAUAAAGCUCAAAUCUCAAUUAGCUAAAUCUUUCAAAUAAACCCUCUAUCUCAUUGUUGUCAGCAUUUACAACAUGAGAUAUUCCUUAUGGGACUAAAAUAUCAAUGUUUGGAACCACCGAGGAGGGAUGGCAUUAAUCACAUUUCACCACAAUGGACUCACCGACAUCCCAUCGAUCAUCAUAUCAUUUUCCUUUAAGACUAUUCCUCACCAAUCACUAGUUGUUAAACACUUAAUUGUAAUUGACUUGUCUUUCAAAUACAGCAUAUAUAUUAGGGUAACUUCUUUACAGAGUUUAUUAAAUUAAAUUUCAACGUGCUAGGUCAUUAGCUGCCAUUUUUGGACACAAUAAAUGGAUCAGAAGAUAUGAGUUCUAACAAGGAAAGAAAAGUAAAAAACAAGAAAUGACAUAAACGUAAAUGAUUUUACAUAGCUGAGUCUAUAGACCUACAUUCACAGAUAUUAUAUAAUCACCUUUAAACAGGAGACGCAACAAAAUAGAUGAUUGCCUAACAACCCAUAAUCAUAAUAGAAGUUACACACAAACAUAAGCAAACAUGUGAUCACACAGACAAAGAAAAAAAACAUAUACUAAACAAAUCACGUCAAUCUAGGAUAUCUAAAUAAAUCACUCUCUGCUGCAUCGCUCCCCUUUUAAAAAUAAGCAGGUUUAAGAGAUCAGUAAAUACAAACCAAGACAAGCUUGAAGUUCUUGGAUAUAAAUUAACCUUGAAUAAGUGUCUGGCCUAAAUAGCAUAUCAAUCAAAUUGGACAUAAAAGGAGAUGAGAAAAAGAGUUUUUUUUUUCAACAAGUGAAAGUAACCAAAAAGUAAACCCCACAUAGAGAUGCAAUAUCAAGCUUAAUGUUGAGCUCAACUGCCCAAGUCAAAUUCUUGCCACAUGAAGUAGCACAGAGAAACUUUAGCCCACUGAACCAAUGUCUGAGAAAGUACCAAACAAGAGAGUUUGGGAUAAACUAUGGCAUUGUUUAAAGAACUCUAAAAUAAUCCCAAACUUAUGAUGAAACAAAUAUUAAUUACUUCACCAAUGUUUAACCCAAGUUAUAUUAAGGAACAUGACAUGAUAACAUUGGUUAUUUCCACUUCAAAGAAUGAAUGAAAGGCAUGAAAAUUAUGUAAUUCAUAUUCAAACCAGCUAAAGCAUGCAUGUCACCCAUGCCCUCUAUGUGGGGCCUACUUGUUGGUUACUUUCACUUCUUGUUGGGGAAAGAAAAAAGACUCAAGCUUAAUGUUGAGCUUAACCGCCAGAGUCAAAUUCUUGCCACAUGAAGGAGCACAAUAGAACUUUCGCCCACUAGACCAAUGUUUAAGAAAGUACUAUGCAAAGGGGUUUGGGAUAAACUAUGGUAUCAUUUAAAGAACUUUA